GGCGGGCUAACACCGGACGGACAAACGGACGGAAAGAGAGUGAGGAAGGAAACAAGGGGGGAAUUGGUAGAACAAUGUGAGAUGGAAAAUAGUGUCGAAAAAUAGGAGACGCAUAGAAGACGAGUCAUGUGUGAGUGACUGAGUCAUAAGAUAUUUAUAUAUUGGACA
ensembl:ncRNA C17E4.17 ncRNA